ensembl:lncRNA
AAGCAACUUAGCACGCGCACACUUCCUCUCCAAGGAAGCACUGAUCUGACAAAAAAACAGAGGAAGAAAAGCCUCUCCACAACCUAUUGCUGCUGCUGCUGCUGCCUGCUGCUAAGUCGCCCACCAGGCUCCUCAUCCAUGGGAUUCUCUAGGUGGUGAUUGGCAGGUGGGACUGAGUCCCCACUGACGCUUGAGAAGACCCCAGCCCCAGGGCACUUUCCACGGCAAGGAGCAGGGUCAUCCAUGGCUGCUGGAGGGGGGCUGUCCCAGCAGCUGCAGAAGAGACUGCAGGAGGAGGCCAGGCCUCUCCAAGGGACCCUGAUUGGACUUCGGACAUUUAUCGUGACGAGCAUCUCAAGGUGCGAAACCAGAACAUCAAGCCUGCCGCACCCUGGACAGCAUGGCUCAGACAAGGCUCGGCACAAACAGGAAGUGAUUUCAAGAAAGAGUUAAAUAGCAGCACAGAAGGUGCUCAGAGGAACAGAAAUGUGGAGCUGGGACCAGAAUGGCGGAAUUUUCCCUGGCAUCUUGCUACACUAUAAAUUUGACUCCAAGCUUCCCAGUGCCACAGAGCCUUCCAGAAGGAGAGUCCAACAGGACUGGUGGAGUCUCAAAGGACAGCCUGGGAGAUGAGGCUACUGGAGGCCAAGAAGGGAUCGCCUCACUCCAGACCCCAAACCUCCUCCCCACGCUCCAUCCCCAAAGCUGUGGCGCCUGGAUUGUGGCCAUUCCCCUGCUUGCUGAGAGGAUUAAGUGUCUAAAGUCCUCAUCGGGGGAAUUCCCAGGCAGUCCAGUGGCUGGGACUCUGCCCGUCCACUGCAAGGGGCACGGUUUCUUUCCCUGGUCAGAGCACUAAGAUUCCAUAUGCUGCACAACAUGACCAAAAAAUAACAUUAAAAAAAAAUUUUUUUUUAAUAAAAUAAAUAAAUCAAUCCACAGCCCACAGUGGGCGCUCAAUAAAUGGUGAUCGUCUUUGUCA